GGGAAUAUUGCCCAAUGGCCGAAAGGCUGAGGCAGCAACGCCGCGUGCGCGAUGAAGGCCUUCGGGUCGUAAAGCGCUUUUCGGGUGGAUGAGGCAGGACAGUACACCCGGAAUAAGGUACGGCUAACUACGUGCCAGCAGCCGCGGUAAAACGUAGGUACCGAGCGUUAUCCGGAUUUACUGGGCGUAAAGCGCGUUCAGGCGGUUUGGCAAGUCGGGCAUGAAAUCUCUCGGCUCAACCGGGAGAGGUUGUCCGAUACUGCCAGACUUGAGGGCAGUAGAGGGUGGUGGAAUUCCGGGUGUAGUGGUGAAAUGCGUAGAUAUCCGGAGGAACACCAGUGGCGAAAGCGGCCACCUGGACUGCACCUGACGCUGACACGCGAAAGCUAGGGGAGCGAA
rnacentral:rRNA from 1 species